GACAGAGGGUGCAAACGUUGUUCGGAAUUACUGGGCGUAAAGCGUGUGUAGGCUGCUACAUAAGUCGGAUGUGAAAGCCCCGGGCUCAACCCGGGAAGUGCACUCGAUACUGCGUAGCUUGAGUCUCGGAGAGGUUGGUGGAAUUCUCGGUGUAGAGGUGAAAUUCGUAGAUAUCGAGAGGAACACCGGUGGCGAAGGCGGCCAACUGGACGAAGACUGACGCUGAGACACGAAAGCCAGGGGAGCAAACGGG
rnacentral:rRNA from 1 species